GUCUGCCAAGGCUUCUUUGUCUUGGUGGAUCGUGGGUUUCCUGUGUUGCCUACCUAAGCAAUGGUAUUGCCUUGGUUGAUCGUAGUCCCUUUUCUUCUAGUGUCAUACCUAUGACACUGGAUGAACCAUGAAGCGGUUUCUUUGAUCCAUCUUGUCAUCCAAAUGUGUUGAUUUUAUGGCUCAUCGAGCAUCGCUUGGUCUCUUGGAUACAGAACAUGAUUUUGAGCAUAUGGGGUCUCAUGGGUUCCUUGUUUUGCUCUCAUUCAGCUUGUGCCUUUCUYUUACAAUGACUGCCUCCCCCGCCUAGGCUCGUACCUGCGUGGGAGGCAUGUCAAAGGGAAAUGCUCUUGCUGUUUGGUGUGGGCAUGGUGUCUCAUGUGAUCCUUGUUUUGCUCUCAUUUAGCGUUCGCGCUUUCUUCAAAUGACUGCCUCGCUCGCCUAGGCUCGUACCUGCUUGGGAGGCCAUGUCAAAGAGGAUUGC
rnacentral:misc_RNA from 1 species